GUAGGGGGGGCAAGCGUUGUCCGGAAUUAUUGGGCGUAAAGCGCGCGCAGGGCGGUCCUUUAAGUCUGAUGUGAAAGCCCACGGCUCAACCGUGGAGGGUCAUUGGAAACUGGGGGACUUGAGUACAGAAGAGGAAAGCGGAAUUCCAAGUGUAGCGGUGAAAUGCGUAGAGAUUUGGAGGAACACCAGUGGCGAAGGCGGCUUUCUGGUCUGUAACUGACGCUGAGGCGCGAAAGCGUGGGGAGCAAACAGGAUUAGAUACCCUGGUAGUCCACGCCGUAAACGAUGAGUGCUAAGUGUUAGGGGGUUUCCGCCCCUUAGUGCUGCAGCUAACGCAUUAAGCACUCCGCCUGGGGAGUACGGCCGCAGGGCUG
rnacentral:rRNA from 1 species